GACGAACCGUGCGAACGUUGUUCGGAAUCACUGGGCUUAAAGGGCGCGUAGGCGGGGUGGACAGUCUAUGGUGAAAUCCUCCGGCUCAACCGGAGAACUGCCGUGGAUACUGCCACUCUCGAGGGGUGUAGGGGCAUGCGGAACUGAGGGUGGAGCGGUGAAAUGCGUAGAUAUCCUCAGGAACGCCGGUGGCGAAAGCGGCGUGCUGGACACCUUCUGACGCUGAGGCGCGAAAGCCAGGGGAGCAAACGGG
rnacentral:rRNA from 1 species